UAACGGCGAGUGAAGCGGCAAUAGCUCAAAUUUGAAAGCUGGCCUCUGGUCCGCAUUGUAAUUUGUAGAGGAUGCUUUUAGGCAGCCGCCGGUCUAAGUUCCUUGGAACAGGACGUCAUAGAGGGUGAGAAUCCCGUAUGUGACCGGCUCAGGCACCUUCUGUAAAGCUCCUUCGACGAGUCGAGUUGUUUGGGAAUGCAGCUCUAAAUGGGAGGUAAAUUUCUUCUAAAGCUAAAUACUGGCGAGAGACCGAUAGCGCACAAGUAGAGUGAUCGAAAGAUGAAAAGCACUUUGGAAAGAGAGUUAAAAAGCACGUGAAAUUGUUGAAAGGGAAGCGCUUGCAAUCAGACUUGGCCUAGGGUGUUCAACCGGUCUUCUGACCGGCCUAUUCAUUCUGGGCCAGGCCAGCAUCAGUUUUGGCGGCCGGAUAAAGGCCUUGGGAAUGUGGCUUCCUCUUCGGGGGAAGUGUUAUAGCCCAGGGUGUAAUACGGCCAGCCGGGACUGAGGUCCGCGCUUCGGCUAGGAUGCUGGCGUAAUGGUUGUAAGCGGCCCGUCUUGAAACACGGACCAAGGAGUCUAACAUCUAUGCGAGUGUUAGGGUGUCAAACCCUUACGCGUAAUGAAAGUGAACGGAGGUGGGAACCCGCAAGGGUGCACCAUCGACCGAUCCUGAUGUCUUCGGAUGGAUUUGAGUAAGAGCAUAGCUGUUGGGACCCGAAAGAUGGUGAACUAUGCCUGAAUAGGGUGAAGCCAGAGGAAACUCUGGUGGAGGCUCGCAGCGGUUCUGACGUGCAAAUCGAUCGUCAAAUUUGGGUAUAGGGGCGAAAGACUAAUCGAACCAU
rnacentral:rRNA from 1 species